rnacentral:tRNA from 215 species
GCGGACGUGGUGGAAAUGGUAGACACAGUGGCUUUGGGUGCCACGGGGGCGAGCCGCUAAACUCACAUGCCCCGUGCCGGUUCAAGUCCGGUCGUCCGCACCA